rnacentral:misc_RNA from 1 species
AACGCACAUUGCGCCCUUUAGUAUUCUGAAGGGCAUGCCUGUUCGAGCGUCAUUAUCACUAAUCAAGCUCGGCUUGCUGUUGGACCUCUUGUCGUUGAAAGACAGGCCCCAAAGAUAAUGACGGUGUUAUAAGAACCCUAGAUGCAACGAGCUCUAACCAGCACGCAUGUUAGUGGCCUUAUAACCCGGUCUUUUAACACCAAUUUUAAAGGUUGACCUCGGAUCAGGUAGGAAUACCCGCUGAACUUAA